rnacentral:misc_RNA from 1 species
UCUCUCUUGUAUAAUACACACUCCACUAAACACUAUCCUCCUCUCUCCUUUCAUUCCACCCCCUCUGCGGCCUCUGCCUGCUUUGCCUCGCUCUCUAUCAUCCGCUCGAACAACGUCUCUCUCGUCGUCAUAAUCCUCCGUGUCCGUGUGUUGUUCGUCCACUCUCUUUCUCGCUCGUUUACCUCCUCGCCUGCUCUUGCUUUCGCGAGCGCGCUGGUUGCUCCUCCUCCUCCUCUCUUCUUUUCUUUCUGUGUUUUGUGCAGCAGAUACUGCUGCUGCAGCUGGUGAUGCGUUACUCACCCUCCCUUCCGUGAAAAAUAUUUGAAGUUUUGCGUGGUACUUGGUUCAGUUUUGUUGUUCUGUUAACUCUUUUUUUUUUUUUCUCUAUACCUAUAUAAGUACAUUUGCUCCGCUUUGGUCUUCUGCUGGAAGAGAGACACAAUACCCGCUGCUAUUGCUGUGUAUAAACUAUACCCAUACAAUUAAUGUGUACGUGUGUGUUCUGAUAUGCUGGAUGUGCUGUAACUGGUGCUUACAGGUUGAGAGGAAAGAGGUACCUACCAGAUACUACUCAAAAACCAUCUUCAGGGAAUGCGGUUGUACGGCAACUAACUAGGCCCGGGACAGACUGGGCCACCACGUAAAAGCAGACGGCGUUAAUUGUCUUGACAUGGAGCUCAGCCUGGAUCAACACUGAUCUCUAGAUGCUUUGCCAAGCGACAUACAGCCAGGGCGAUGGAUUGAUAGAGGAAGGUAAGCUGGCUGGUCAGGUUUGGAUUGACGAGCAGCAGGCCUGCGCCCGCAAGAGCAGUAGGAGUAGCAGCAGUAACAGCAGCUGUGGCAGCCAGGAAAGGCGCAAGCCUACAAGGAAGAAGAAGCUGGAAGUCGAGGUGGGCAGCGUCAGUGAGGCGGCCGGAGCUGUCGGUCACAACAGCAGAAACAACAACCGGAGGGCCUUGGGCGCAGGCCGUGGUGGGUCGCGUGACAGCCAGAUUAUGCCGACACAGCCGAGGCCGGGCAGCCUCAAGGAUCCAGAGAUCGCCGAGCUCUUUGAAGAUAACGAUCCGGAGAAGAUCUUCGAGGACUUGAGAGAAAUCGGCCAUGGCAGCUUCGGCGCCGUCUACUACGCGAGGUGCCUCAUCAGCAGGGAAAUUGUCGCCAUUAAAAAGAUGUCCUACCUCGGCAAGCAGACUAUGGAAAAGUGGCAGGACAUACUCAAGGAAAUACGCUUUCUCAGACAACUUAAGCAUCCAAACACCAUCGAGUACAAGGGUUGCUAUCUCAGGGAUCACACUGCCUGGCUGGUCAUGGAAUACUGUCUGGGUUCCGCGUCGGACAUAAUCGAGGUGCACAAGAGGCCACUAAAAGAGGACGAGAUCGCGGCGAUAUGUGAGGGUGUGCUGCGUGGCCUAAACUACCUGCAUUCGUUGGGCAGGAUUCACCGGGACGUGAAGGCUGGCAAUAUCCUGCUUACGGAAAACGGUACAGUCAAGCUCGCAGAUUUCGGUUCUGCGAGUGUCAAGUGCCCGGCCAACAGCUUCGUCGGUACGCCCUACUGGAUGGCCCCGGAGGUCAUACUAGCCAUGGACGAAGGCCAGUAUGACGGUAAAGUCGACGUCUGGUCCUUAGGAAUCACGUGUAUUGAAUUGGCGGAACGGAAACCGCCUUACUUCAACAUGAACGCAAUGAGUGCUCUCUAUCACAUUGCCCAAAACGAAAGGCCGACGCUGAACUCGGCCGAAUGGACGGAAGUAUUCCGUCACUUCGUCGAGAUCUGCCUUACCAAGAGUCCUGGCGAGAGACCAGCUUCCGGGAAACUGUUAUCGCAUACUUUUGUAACAAGACUGCGCUCGCCCCAAGUCUUGAUCGAUCUUAUAAAUAGAACAAAGGCUGCCGUACGGGAAUUAGAUAAUUUAAAUUAUCGAAAGAUGAAAAAGAUUUUGAUGAUCGACACCUGUGAAACGGAGAGUCAAAUAGGCGACGCUGAUGACACUCCUGACGAACAAACAGGUGGUGACAGCAGCAAGAGCAACAGCAUUACCUCCGAGCACUCAAUUCACUCGAUGGGUGUGUCGGCAAGCUCGCAAAGUUCAUCAACCAAUAGCCUACCUUUACCAAACAAUGCCAAUGACGCAAACGACGCUUGUAUUAUGGCUGGUUCGAUGAGAAAUCGACACAACCGAAUGGCAGGUGCUCAAGGCAUGACCGCGAACCUCCUCGAGCACGGCGCUAACAAUUUUGCGACGAUCAGAACCACGUCGAUCGUCACCAAGCAGCAGAAGGAACACAUGCAGGAGGAGAUGCACGAACAGAUGAGCGGCUACAAGAGGAUGAGACGAGAGCACCAUGGCGCGUUGAUGAAAUUAGAGGAACGGUGUAAGAUCGAAGUCGAGUCUCACAAGCAGCAGCUUGAAAAAGAGUACGAAAAUCUGAUGCAGCAGUUUAGCAAAGAGUUGGAAAAACUACAGGCUAGGCAUCAUCAAGAGCUCGAGCGGAGACAAAAGCAAAAUCAAAAUGCAGAAAAGAAGCUUCACAAAGAAAUCACGAACAGGCACGAAACUGAUCGCAAGGCUCUUGAGGCUCAGCAAAAACGGGAGUACAAGGCGUACAAGGAGAGGUGGAAGAAGGAACUAUCACAGGACGAGCUGACGCCAAAGCGACAACGGGACGCUACUCUUCAGAGUCAAAAAGACAGUCUCAGGCAGAUGGAGGCUCAAGAGGAGCAGCGACUCGCGCGUGGACAGCGGGAGUAUCUAGACUUGGAAAUACGUAAAUUCCGCAGAAAAAAAUUACUCAACUACCAUGCUCUUGAACAAGAGCUUCUUCGUGAAGAAUUGAACAAGAGACAGCAACAGCUGGAACAAGCUCACGCGAUGCUUCUUCGGCAUCACGAGAAGACGCAAGAGCUGGAGUACAGACAACAAAGGGCCGUUCAUGCUCUGCGAGAGGAACAAAUCCAACGGCAACACAACACUGAACUUAGCAAUCAACGAGAUUAUAUGCAACGUGCCGAACGUGAUCUGCGUAAGAAGCAUGCGCUUGAGCUCAAACAGCAACCCAAAAGUCUGAAGCAAAAAGAAAUGCAAAUCAGGAAGCAAUUUAGGGAAACGUGUAAAAUACAAACGCGCCAGUAUAAAGCACUGAAAGCCCAGAUAUUGCAGACAACUCCCAAGGACGAACAAAAAUCUGUAAUAAAGAAAUUGAAGGAGGAACAAAGGCGAAAACUCGCACUCCUGGGUGAACAGUAUGAACAGAGUAUUGCUGAAAUGCUUCAAAAGCAAAGUAUUCGUUUGGACGAAUCGCAAGAAAUUGAGUGCCAGGUUCUCAAGCAAAGAUUGAAUCACGAGCUUGAAAUCUUGAUGGCGUACCAGUCGAAGAACAAGAUGCAGGCGGAGGCUCAGCGUGAUCGAGAACGACGUGAACUCGAGGAUCGAGUGUCCGUGAGACGAGCACUUUUAGAAAAGAAACUCGAGGACGAAACGCAAGAGAUCUUGCACGAGCGUAGUGAGCGAAUACGAUUGCUGCACGAAAAGCAAGAGCGUGAGCUCCAUUACUUCGACGAAGAAAGCGCGAGAAUCGGAUUCAGUGCGUUAGCAAUAGCCGAAGCUUCAAAGGAAUCUUAUCCGGAUGACGAAAGCCUCAGCGGUUCAAUGUUAAGUCUGGCUCACAGUAAUAGUUCUACAUCUUUUCCCCCUAAUAGUCUCUAAUCCAAAACCAUGAAAAAUAAUUCGUGUUAAUGAAAAAUAAUGAAACAAUUAUGUCCGCCUGUAGUCGUGCGAGUAUGGAACUUUUUUUUUUUUUUUAACUUAUAACACCGCACAGUUCAGAGGCAGAAGUGUGUUGACUCGCUCGAAUUCCAGAUUUGGUUGUAAAUUUCGAACCGACGAUUGCGAGGAUGACGACGGUCAUGCAGGUCAAGAAUUUCAUUAAGUAACGUCUAGUGAUGAGGCUCUCGUGGCUGUAAUCUUUUAUUUCUGACUAGCGGGAGAAAAAAAAAAGAAUUGUAGAGCAAUGUAUGUAUGCCUAGUAAUAUAUGCUGUCGUCGUUAUUUUUUUGUAGCCUUACGAAACAAAAAAGUUAUUUCAUUGUU